rnacentral:rRNA from 1 species
GACGGAGGAUGCAAGUGUUAUCCGGAAUCACUGGGCGUAAAGCGUCUGUAGGUGGUUUAAAAAGUCCACUGUUAAAAAUUGAAGCUUAACUUCAAAGAUGCCGUGGAAACUUUUAAACUUGAGUAUGGUAGGGGUAGAGGGAAUUUCCAGUGGAGCGGUGAAAUGCGUAGAUAUUGGAAAGACCACCAAUGGCGAAGGCACUCUACUGGGCCAUUACUGACACUGAGAGACGAAAGCUAGGGGAGCGAAUGGG